ACUCCUACGGGAGGCAGCAGUAGGGAAUCUUCCACAAUGGGCGCAAGCCUGAUGGAGCAACACCGCGUGAGUGAAGAAGGGUUUCGGCUCGUAAAGCUCUGUUGUUAAAGAAGAACACGUAUGAGAGUAACUGUUCAUACGUUGACGGUAUUUAACCAGAAAGUCACGGCUAACUACGUGCCAGCAGCCGCGGUAAUACGUAGGUGGCAAGCGUUAUCCGGAUUUAUUGGGCGUAAAGAGAGUGCAGGCGGUUUUCUAAGUCUGAUGUGAAAGCCUUCGGCUUAACCGGAGAAGUGCAUCGGAAACUGGAUAACUUGAGUGCAGAAGAGGGUAAGUGGAACUCCAUGUGUAGCGGUGGAAUGCGUAGAUAUAUGGAAG
rnacentral:rRNA from 1 species